GUUGCUGUAAAUCCAGCAACCGGGUUUAGCAGCCUGGAACACAUCACAGCGCACAACCGCGCCUGCGGUUUUUUU
rnacentral:sRNA from 24 species